rnacentral:misc_RNA from 1 species
CGGUUUUCAGAGAUGAGCCUGAUGAAGCUAGAAUGAAACUUGUUUGACUAGAGGAAAGAGAUUUGCUUAGUGGUACUUCCAAGUCAAACUUCUCCUUCAGAUGUCUCACGUCUUGACAAAUAACUGAAAUUUCUCCCUGUAAUACGUCAACUAAUUGUCCACGAUCAAUUAGAAACUCUCGCAACUUGGAAUUCUCAUUUGCUUCCUGUUGUAGUAUCCGUGAUUCCCAG